GAGAAAACAGACAACAGAGUAAGGCCACGGAAGGGUGCAGGGCGUUGACACCAAGCAGCGGACAUGCAAACCUCGGACAAAUGGAGCUGUCACUGCCGAGAGCAGGGCCUCCAGUGACACUUCCUUUGGUCCAAGUUGCAGGUAUCAUGGGCCAAGUGGUGGAUAUCCAGGACUCAGCACCUUGGUCAGUGCAACCUCCAAGCCUGUUUUUCUGACUCCAAUAGAGUGAGCACAUCACCCUCCCGAACUGGGUCGGGGGACGAGGGGGGACUUGGACAUUUCAGAUGAUAGAGCGACUGGUGUCAUCCAUAAAUUUCACAUGCACCUGCGUGCACUGUCCCGGUGAUCCAGUCCUGCCCAGCACUUUGGUAGCCUUAGCCAGCUCGAUGGCCUGCAUGCGACUGUCGCCAUGGUGGUGGUGACCUGGUGGAGAGGUCACUUUUUUUCUUUUUGAAUUAUCUUAAACUAUGAACCAACAUUCAUACAGAAACUAUUU